AACGGGUGAGUAACACGUGAGCAACCUGCCCUGGACUCUGGGAUAAGCGCUGGAAACGGCGUCUAAUACUGGAUAUGAGCCUCUUCCGCAUGGUGGGGGUUGGAAAGAUUUUUUGGUCUGGGAUGGGCUCGCGGCCUAUCAGCUUGUUGGUGAGGUAAUGGCUCACCAAGCGUCGACGGGUAGCCGGCCUGAGAGGGUGACCGGCCACACUGGGACUGAGACACGGCCCAGACUCCUACGGGAGGCAGCAGUGGGGAAUAUUGCACAAUGGGCGAAAGCCUGAUGCAGCAACGCCGCGUGAGGGAUGACGGCCUUCGGGUUGUAAACCUCUUUUAGCAGGGAAGAAGCGAAAGUGACGGUACCUGCAGAAAAAGCGCCGGCUAACUACGUGCCAGCAGCCGCGGUAAUACGUAGGGCGCAAGCGUUAUCCGGAAUUAUUGGGCGUAAAGAGCUCGUAGGCGGUUUGUCGCGUCUGCUGUGAAAUCCCGAGGCUCAACCUCGGGCCUGCAGUGGGUACGGGCAGACUAGAGUGCGGUAGGGGAGAUUGGAAUUCCUGGUGUAGCGGUGGAAUGCGCAGAUAUCAGGAGGAACACCGAUGGCGAAGGCAGAUCUCUGGGCCGUAACUGACGCUGAGGAGCGAAAGGGUGGGGAGCAAACAGGCUUAGAUACCUGGUAGUCCACCCCGUAAACGUUGGGAACUAGUUGUGGGGACC
rnacentral:rRNA from 1 species